rnacentral:misc_RNA from 1 species
UCUCCGUUGGUGAACCAGCGGAGGGAUCAUUAAAGGAACUCGCAAGACUCCUGACCCACUGUGAACCUACCCGACGUUGCCUCGGCGGGCGCCCGGCCUCGCGCCGGGCACCAAGCCCGCCGGCGGCCCCCUACUCAGUCUCUGCAGCGUUGUGUCUCCGAGUAUACCAAAACAAGUCAAAACUUUCAACAACGGAUCUCUUGGCUCUA